UACGUAGGCAGCGAGCGUUGUUCGGAGUUACUGGGCGUAAAGAGCUUGUAGGUGGCUCGUCGCGUCGGGAGUGAAAACCCGCGGCUUAACCGCGGGCCUGCUUUCGAUACGGGCGGGCUAGAGUUCGGCAGGGGAGACUGGAAUUCCUGGUGUAGCGGUGGAAUGCGCAGAUAUCAGGAGGAACACCGGUGGCGAAGGCGGGUCUCUGGGCCGAUACUGACACUGAGAAGCGAAAGCGUGGGGAGCGAACAGG
rnacentral:rRNA from 1 species